GGGUGUUUGCAUCUGUAUGCUGACCUGAUCUGCCAUCCAGGCCUCAUUAGAGCUGUUUGCUGACUCUGAUUCAAAAAACUACCUCUUGUCCCUCUUCUAGAUGAGAGAAAGAAAAGACAAGACAGAUAUCAUAUUGGCUUAAAUGAUUUUUUUGAGUGCAGAAUGCCUGGGUUUCCAGAGUGAGUGCUCAGUGUACACCAUUUCCAGCUGCUCUGCAAUAGGCUUUAGCAGCUAGAAAUCUGCUUCAUUGUUGGUUGGAUAUGCUGAGACAUCAAAAAAACUGGGACUGAUUUUUGAUAGUAGUGUUGGGUUUUUUGCAUCAUGGUGCUGUAUCACUGCUUAGUUACUGUUCAUCACUGCAACCUCAAAUGGACUCCCUGAGAUGCUAUCACACGGUGACCCCAAGUCCACAGCAGGGAACUCCAUGGAGGCCUGGUCUGAAGCACUGGUGUGGCAGAUGUGGUAUACCAACGCUUCCUAUUCCUCUGUAAACGUUGCAGUCCACAUGAAGAGAAAUCUAUUUGAAAGUGGUUGAAUAAAGUCAAGAAGGUAAAUUAGAAUCAUCUGCUCUCCAAAGACUUUCUUGUCUCCAUAAAACAAUGCCCUCUCCUGCCUCCCAGGCUGUGACUAAUUCU
rnacentral:lncRNA from 14 species